rfam:Selaginella moellendorffii unplaced genomic scaffold SELMOscaffold_4, whole genome shotgun sequence.
GUGCUUGUAGCUCAAUCGGAUAGAGCAUCUGUCUUCUAAACAGAAUGUCGCAGGUUCGAUCCCUGCCAGGCACG